GUUAGCUACUAGAGCUAAACAGGUACAAAGAGGCCAAACGGUUAAGUUUGCAUCAUUUGAACGAUAAAACUCAAGUUUAUUCCCAUGUAACCUUAUUUCAAUUUUAUUUCUGGUUAUUUUAGUGCAGCAUGUACUUCUGCUCUAGUUUAGUCUUUAUUUAUUAAAGACUUGUUAUUUAUUGAUGUCAUUUUUAAACAGAUCUAUUUGUUCUUCAGAUCACUUUACUAUUGUUCAGACACACUUUCAAGAUCCCUAUUGUUUUUUUUUUU